GUGCUCAAUUUGGCAGCACAUAUACUAAAACUGGAACAGUACAGAGAAGAUUAGCAUGGCCCCUGCACAAGGAUGACAUGUGAAUUCAUGAAGUGUUCCAUAUUUUU